GUACUCGCUUCGGCGGUACAUAUACUAAAAUUGGAACGAUACAGAGUAAAUUAUCAUGGACUCUGCGCAAGGAAGACACGUAAAAAAAAGAAAAGAUAAAAAGGAAA